rnacentral:rRNA from 1 species
UACGAAGGGACCUAGCGUAGUUCGGAAUUACUGGGCGUAAAGCGCGCGUAGGCCGUUGAGUUAGUUAAUUGUGAAAUCCCAAAGCUUAACUUUGGAACUGCAAUUAAAACUGCUCGACUAGAGUUUGAUAGAGGAAAGCGGAAUACAUAGUGUAGAGGUGAAAUUCGUAGAUAUUAUGUAGAACACCAGUUGCGAAGGCGGCUUUCUGGAUCAACACUGACGCUGAGGCGCGAAAGUAUGGGUAGCAAAGAGGAUUAGAUACCCUCGUAGUCCAUACCAUAAACGAUGAUUGCUAGAUGUUGGAAAUUUAUUUUCAGUAUCGCAGCUAACGCAUUAAGCAAUCCGCCUGGGGAGUACGACCGCAAGGUUA